GUGGGGAAUAUUGGACAAUGGGCGCAAGCCUGAUCCAGCUAUGCCGCGUGAGUGAGGAAGGCCUUAGGGUUGUAAAACUCUUUCAGUAGGGAAGAUAAUGACGGUACCUACAGAAGAAGUCCCGGCAAACUCCGUGCCAGCAGCCGCGGUAAUACGGAGGGGGCAAGCGUUGUUCGGAAUUAUUGGGCGUAAAGGGCAUGUAGGCGGUUUGGU
rnacentral:rRNA from 1 species